AUGAGUAACACGAGCUGUGCAAUCUUAAGUUGGAACAUUAGAGGUCUGAACACGCCAGCCAGGCGUACGACCGUGUGCCAGAUAGCAGAUGCGCAGCGGGCAAGCAUUCUCUGCCUGCAGGAGACUAAGUUAGAAACUUGGAUGCCCAGCAUUGUUGCAGAACUGGGCGGCAGCAGAUUGGAAGGAUGCGCUGUCCUCUCAGCGAUCGGCACUAGAGGGGGAAUCACUGUUCUCUGGGACAAGAGCUUAGUCAGUUUUGUGACACAUGCAGUCGGAAAUUUCUCCAUCACCGGAAAAGUAUCUCUGAUCCAGGACAGAGUGGAAUUUUGGCUCACAACUGUCUAUGGGCCUGUAGAUGAUACACGAAAAGAUGACUUCCUUGCCGAAAUUGUUGGAAAUAUGCCCUAG
rnacentral:rRNA from 1 species